GGAGGAGUGGCAGAGUGGUCGAUUGCACCGGUCUUGAAAACCGGCGUACGUGAAAGCGUACCGUGGGUUCGAAUCCCACCUCCUCCG
rnacentral:tRNA from 1 species